rnacentral:rRNA from 1 species
CCUACGGGAGGCAGCAGUGAGGAAUAUUGGACAAUGGGCGCAAGCCUGAUCCAGCCAUGCCGCGUGCAGGAUGAAGCAUCUAUGGUGUGUAAACUGCUUUUGUACGAGAAGAAACACUGCUUCGUGAAGCAGCUUGACGGUAUCGUAAGAAUAAGGAUCGGCUAACUCCGUGCCAGCAGCCGCGGUAAUACGGAGGAUCCAAGCGUUAUCCGGAAUCAUUGGGUUUAAAGGGUCCGUAGGCGGCCUUAUAAGUCAGUGGUGAAAUCUCACGGCUCAACCGUGAAAUGGCCAUUGAUACUGUAGGGCUUGAAUUAUUAGGAAGUAACUAGAAUAUGUAGUGUAGCGGUGAAAUGCUUAGAGAUUACAUGGAAUACCAAUUGCGAAGGCAGGUUACUACUAAUGGAUUGACGCUGAUGGACGAAAGCGUGGGUAGCGAACAGGAUUAGAUACCCUGGUAGUCCACGCCGUAAACGAUGGAUACUAGCUGUUGGGGGCAACCUCAGUGGCUAAGCGAAAGUGAUAAGUAUCCCACCUGGGGAGUACGUCGCGAGAAGUAGAAAGUUAAAGUAGUAAGUUAGUACGGACGUAGAGACGUUAGCCGACGGACGACGACGAGGGGAGGAGG